rnacentral:rRNA from 1 species
CCUACGGGGAGCUGCAGUGGGGGAUAUUGCACAAUGGGGGGAACCCUGAUGCAGCGACGCCGCGUGGGUGAAGAAGCGCCUCGGCGCGUAAAGCCCUGUCAGCAGGGAAGAAAAUGACGGUACCUGAAGAAGAAGCCCCGGCUAACUACGUGCCAGCAGCCGCGGUAAUACGUAGGGGGCAAGCGUUAUCCGGAUUUACUGGGUGGAAAGGGGGCGCAGACGGCGAUGCAAGCCAGGAGGGAAAGCCCGGGGCCCAACCCCGGGACUGCUCUUGGAACUGCGUGGCUGGAGUGCAGGAGGGGCAGGCGGAAUUCCUGGUGUAGCGGUGAAAUGCGUAGAUAUCAGGAGGAACACCGGUGGCGAAGGCGGCCUGCUGGACUGCAACUGACGUUGAGGCCCGAAAGCGUGGGGAGCAAACAGGAUUAGAUACCCCAGUAGUC